UUCCGGUUGAUCCCGCCGGAGGCGACCGCUUUGGGAGUUCGAUUAAGCCAUGCGAGUCGUGAGUCUUAGGGACUCGGCAUACUGCUCAGUAACACGUGGAUAACCUGCCCUAUCGUCUGGAAUAACCUCGGGAAACUGAGAAUAAGGCCGGAUAGUUCACAAUGCCUGGAACGGUUUGUGAAUCAAGGUAGGAUGGGUCUGCGGCGUAUCAGGUUGUAGGGGGUGUAAAGGACCCCCUAGCCUUCGACGCGUACGGGUGUUGGGAGACAUAGCCCGGAGAUGGAUUCUGAGACACGAAUCCAGACCCUACGGGGUGCAGCAGGCGCGAAAACUUCACACUGCAGGAAACUGUGAUGAGGGAACUCCUAGUGCAUGCACUAUGUGUAUGUAGAUCCUACUCUUAACAAGUAGAGGGAAAGGGCUGGGAAAGACCGGUGCCAGCCGCCGCGGUAAUACCGGCAGCUCAAGUGGUCGUCGCUUUUAUUGGGCCUAAAACGUCCGUAGCCUGUUUGGUAAAUCUGUGGGUAAAUCAAUCCGCUCAACGGAUUGAAUUCUGCAGAGACUGCCAGACUAGGGACCGGGAGAGGUGUGGGGUACUCGAGGGGUAGGGGUAAAAUCCUGUCAUCCUUCGAGGACCACCAGUUGCGAAGGCGCCACACUGGAACGGAUCCGACGGUCA
rnacentral:rRNA from 1 species